AUACGUAGGGGGCGAGCGUUGUCCGGAAUGAUUGGGCGUAAAGGGCGCGUAGGCGGCCCGGUAAGUCUGGAGUGAAAGUCCUGUUUUUAAGAUGGGAAUUGCUUUGGAUACUGUCGGGCUUGAGUGCAGGAGAGGUAAGUGGAAUUCCCAGUGUAGCGGGGAAAUGCGUAGAGAUUGGGAGGAACACCAGUGGCGAAGGCGACUUACUGGACUGUAACUGACGCUGAGGCGCGAAAGUGUGGGGAGCAAACAGGAUUAGAUACCCUGGUAGUCCACACUGUAAACGAUGAAUACUAGGUGUAGGGGGUAUCGACUCCCUCUGUGCCGCAGUUAACACAAUAAGUAUUCCGCCUGGGGAGUACGGCCGCAAGGUUGAAACUCAAAGGAAUUGGCGGGG
rnacentral:rRNA from 1 species